UUACAACUUUUUUUACG
rnacentral:sRNA from 1 species